AACACAUUUCGUAGUUGCGUACUUUCGAAUAUCCAUCAUACGAGCGCCGAGGAGCUGUAGCCGAGCUUUGAAAAAAUUUUCGCAGUUGGCUAAAUAUUACCUGUCAGAUUUCGCAAUUUGAGCUCGAAAUAAGCUACAACAGCUAGCGAAAAGGCACACAAACGUACACUUUUGGCGAGUCAUCGAGUAAAAGGCAGGCGUGCAAUAUUAACAACAACAACAACAACAGACAGCAAUUACGCAUAGUCUCUAUUGCUUUCGAAGUUCGAAUGCAUAAAGCUUGUUAAUUUCGAAAACAACCCCCGACAGCCAAGUCCAACACAUACGGCACGCAAUCAAAAAUCUAAAACAACAGCGUUAAUUAGCGCCCACCACCCACACACACACCACCUACCGUUGCCUACCGUUGCUGUGAGUGUCACAGUUACAGUCGCCGUCAGUGCUAGGGUACCUACAUAAUUGGCAGCAAUUUUGUAGACAAAAGCGUUUGCGGUUUAUCCAGAACACCUUGCCGCACCCUAUCGCCCACUCGCCUAGCACAGCAGCCGUUAACCGAAAUCAGUAGCAGCAGCAGCAGCAGCGGUAGCGCCAGCAACUGAUAUUCCAUUUCUCUCAGUGCUCAGUGCUUUUAGUCCAGCAGUCGCAGCGCAAAGUAUCGAAACAGCGCGAGUAACAUCUAAUCGGUUUCAUUUAAAACUUCUCUGCGAAAAUGGGCAAGAAAGAUAAGAAGAAGGAAGAGGCGGAACCAGCACCAGCAGCCGAUGCACCACCAGCUGAUACUGCCGCAGGUGAGGGCGGUGAUGGUGAGAUUGUCGGCGGACCGCGCAAUCCUCAACAGAUUGCAGCACAAAAACGGUUACAGCAGACGCAGGCACAAGUCGAUGAGGUCGUCGACAUAAUGCGAACAAAUGUGGAGAAGGUGCUCGAGAGAGAUCAAAAGCUAUCGGAAUUGGAUGAUCGAGCUGAUGCCUUACAACAGGGUGCUUCGCAAUUUGAGCAACAAGCUGGUAAACUAAAACGAAAAUUCUGGUUGCAAAACUUGAAGAUGAUGAUUAUUAUGGGCGUUAUUGGACUGGUCGUUGUGGGCAUUAUUGCAAAAAAAGAUGAAGAUUAACUCACGUAUAAAGUGUGCACCGUUAUUCGAACUAAGCAAUACAAUAUUUUACACCCACUUAAUAUCCCACGAAAGAUAAACUAGGAUUAAUAGGCGGCGAAACACAGCCACAAUAUCCACAGUAUCCACAAUACAUGCCACCACCACCACCA
rnacentral:misc_RNA from 1 species